rnacentral:rRNA from 1 species
AGAGUUUGAUCCUGGCUCAGAUUGAACGCUGGCGGCGUGCUUAACACAUGCAAGUCGAGCGGUAACGCGGGGCAACCUGGCGACGAGCGGCGAACGGGUGAGUAAUGUUUCGGAAUCUACCCACGGGUGGGGAAUAACUAGCCGAAAGGUUAGCUAAUACCGCAUAAGCCUACGGGGGAAAGCGGGGGAUCGUAAGACCU